rnacentral:tRNA from 1 species
AUCAGGUUAGCAGAAAUUUAAUGCGUUUGUUUUAGGAUCAGAAGGUUAUACUGGUGUAUACCUGAUA